ACAGGAUUAGAUACCGUGGUAGUCCACGCCUUAAACGUUGAAUACUAGAUGUUUGGUGCCCAAGCGUACUGAGUGUCGUAGCUAACGCCGAUAAGUAUUCCGCCUGGGGAAGUACGGCCGCAAGGUUAAAACUCCAAAGGAAUUGACGGGGGCCCGCACAAGCGGUGGAGCAUGUGGUUUAAAUUUCGAUGCAACGCGAAGAACCUUACCUGGGCUUGACAUGUCUGGAAUCCUGCAGAGAUGCGGGAGUGCCCUUCGGGGAAUCAGAACACAGGUGCUGCAUGGCUGUCGUCAGCUCGUGUCGUGAGAUGUUGGGUUAAGUCCCGCAACGAGCGCAACCCUUGUCCUUAGUUGCCAGCGGUUCGGCCGGGCACUCUAGGGAGACUGCCGGUGACAAACCGGAGGAAGGUGGGGAUGACGUCAAGUCCUCAUGGCCUUUAUGUCCAGGGCUACACACGUGCUACAAUGGCGCGUACAGAGGGAAGCCAAGCCGCGAGGUGGAGCAGACCCCAGAAAGCGCGUCGUAGUUCGGAUUGCAGUCUGCAACUCGACUGCAUGAAGU
rnacentral:rRNA from 1 species